CCUACGGGGGGCUGCAGUGGGGAAUCUUGCGCAAUGGGCGAAAGCCUGACGCAGCGACGCCGCGUGGGUGAUGAAGGCCUUCGGGUUGUAAAGCUCUUUGGGUGGAGACGAAUAAGUCGUGGCUAACAUCCACGAUGAUGACGGUAUCCACAUAACAAGCACCGGCUAACUCUGUGCCAGCAGCCGCGGUAAGACAGAGGCGGCAAACGUGGUUCGGAAUUACUGGGCGUAAAGCGCAUAGGGCCGACCAGAAAUCCCUCGGCUCAACCAAGGAAGUGCAUUCGAAACCGCAUGGCUGGAGUCCCGGAGAGGAAGGUGGAAUUCUCGGUGUAGAGGUGAAAUUCGUAGAUAUCGAGAGGAACACCGGUGGCGAAAGCGGCCUUCUGGACGAGGACUGACGCUGAGAUGCGAAAGCGUGGGGAGCAAACAGGAUUAGAUACCCUUGUAGUC
rnacentral:rRNA from 1 species